rnacentral:rRNA from 1 species
UCCCAGCUUGCUGGGGGAUUAGUGGCGAACGGGUGAGUAACACGUGAGUAACCUGCCCUUAACUCUGGGAUAAGCCUGGGAAACUGGGUCUAAUACCGGAUAUGACUCCUCAUCGCAUGGUGGGGGGUGGAAAGCUUUAUUGUGGUUUUGGAUGGACUCGCGGCCUAUCAGCUUGUUGGUGAGGUAAUGGCUCACCAAGGCGACGACGGGUAGCCGGCCUGAGAGGGUGACCGGCCACACUGGGACUGAGACACGGCCCAGACUCCUACGGGAGGCAGCAGUGGGGAAUAUUGCACAAUGGGCGAAAGCCUGAUGCAGCGACGCCGCGUGAGGGAUGACGGCCUUCGGGUUGUAAACCUCUUUCAGUAGGGAAGAAGCGAAAGUGACGGUACCUGCAGAAGAAGCGCCGGCUAACUACGUGCCAGCAGCCGCGGUAAUACGUAGGGCGCAAGCGUUAUCCGGAAUUAUUGGGCGUAAAGAGCUCGUAGGCGGUUUGUCGCGUCUGCCGUGAAAGUCCGGGGCUCAACUCCGGAUCUGCGGUGGGUACGGGCAGACUAGAGUGAUGUAGGGGAGACUGGAAUUCCUGGUGUAGCGGUGAAAUGCGCAGAUAUCAGGAGGAACACCGAUGGCGAAGGCAGGUCUCUGGGCAUUAACUGACGCUGAGGAGCGAAAGCAUGGGGAGCGAACAGGAUUAGAUACCCUGGUAGUCCAUGCCGUAAACGUUGGGCACUAGGUGUGGGGGACAUUCCACGUUUUCCGCGCCGUAGCUAACGCAUUAAGUGCCCCGCCUGGGGAGUACGGCCGCAAGGCUAAAACUCAAAGGAAUUGACGGGGGCCCGCACAAGCGGCGGAGCAUGCGGAUUAAUUCGAUGCAACGCGAAGAACCUUACCAAGGCUUGACAUGAACCGGAAAUACCUGGAAACAGGUGCCCCGCUUGCGGUCGGUUUACAGGUGGUGCAUGGUUGUCGUCAGCUCGUGUCGUGAGAUGUUGGGUUAAGUCCCGCAACGAGCGCAACCCUCGUUCUAUGUUGCCAGCGCGUUAUGGCGGGGACUCAUAGGAGACUGCCGGGGUCANYUCGGAGGAAGGWGGGGACGACGUCAAAUCAUCAUGCCCCUUAUGUCUUGGGCUUCAGCAUGCUACAUGGCCGGUACAAGGGUUGC